UGUCCAGCAGCACAAUAAAAUUAGAACAAUACAGAGAAGAUUAGCAUGGCCCCUAUAUAAGGAUGACAUACAAAUUCAUGAAGCAUUCCAUAUUUUC
rnacentral:snRNA from 1 species